rnacentral:misc_RNA from 1 species
GUCCUCCACUCCUCAUCCCAAAACUACCAGACCGACUCUCAGCGGAUCCUAGGAUCUCCAACACACGUGUCCUCGCAACUACACGCGUCUUCUGCUCAUGGGGUUACUAAAACCGGAAAUUGGCGGCCUGGAUCUAAAGUUAAACACGUUACUCUACAGAUAUGGGUCCAAUGGGCCUCCAGGCCCAGCUCAUUCAUGGGACCCUGUAAGCAACGUGUACGAUCCAGAACUUCUGCAGUUCUACUAGCUUGUAAUCUACAAAACAAGUUUGGGCGUAUUUCUUGU